rnacentral:rRNA from 1 species
UAAGGAAUAUUGGACAAUGGAGGCAACUCUGAUCCAGCCAUGCCGCGUGAAGGAAUAAGGCCCUAUGGGUUGUAAACUUCUUUUAGACGGGACAAAACCCCUUUACGUGUAAAGGGUUGAUGGUACUGUCAGAAUAAGCAUCGGCUAACUUCGUGCCAGCAGCCGCGGUAAUAAGAAGGAUGCAAGCGUUAUCCGGAAUUAUUGGGUUUAAAGGGUGCGUAGGCGGACUAAUAAGUCAGUGGUGAAAGCCUGCAGCUUAACUGCAGAAGUGCCAUUGNUACUGUUAGUCUUGAGUACAGUUGAGGUAGGCGGAAUGUGUCAUGUAGCGGUGAAAUGCUUAGAUAUGACACAGAACACCGAUUGCGAAGGCAGCUUGCUAAGCUGUAACUGACGCUGAGGCACGAAAGCGUGGGGAGCAAACA